CACAUGCAUUCAGCCUUCUUUUCUGAAAAACGUGGAGUAUGUGCUGGGAUGUAUGCUACUCAUAACUCACCAUACACAAGGAUUCCCCCACGGGGACACACGCACCCUCACAAGCCACGACAGGGUGACACACAGAGACGCACGCUGGCGGCCGGCUCCCAGGGCCCGCCCUCCUUCGGCGACUCGCCAGUGACACACACACUGCUGCCGCCUCCCGGCUCACACCCACAUCCCGGGAGGAGUCCUGCUCCCGCCGCGCUCCCCCGAGACCCGCGGCGCGGCGCUUCUGUGUUCUGCUCUCUCCACCGCGCCUGGAAACCGCAGUGGGCCGGCCGGGAUGAGCUCACGCUGCCGCCGGCCGCCCAAGCCUAACGCGCUCCAGAUGCCCGGCGGCCGGACCUCGGAGCGCAGAGGACGGCCCUCUGGCGCCCCCUGCAGGGGUCAGCGGCCUCGAGAGGUGCUGGCGCGAGGACCGCUAUGGUCGCGGGCGGUGGGUGAGGGCUGCCCCCGGAAGGGGCGGGGCUUAGCACACCCGCCAGUUCUCUUGGGGUUGUGCCCGCUUGCUCUAGUUCGGAGCUGGUUUGAGCUGCCGCGAAGGCUACCCUGUCUGCUCCGCGCGCUUUCCAGGUCCUGGCCCAGUGUUCCUCUGGGAGGCGGUCCCCUCCCAGGCCGCCCUCGCCAAAACCUCAGAUCCCACCUCCACCUCACCCCCAGUUCCCUGGACCCUCCACCAGGAAAGAACUGGAAAAUUUUAUUUGAGCCAACCUGAGGACAACCCAGGAGGAUAGUCUUUCAGAAGUCCUGAGGACUGUUCCAUCUGUUCAAGGUCAAGGCACAGUUUUGUGAGGGUGUCAGACCCAAGGAGGAUUCUUCACUGAGCCCAACAACCCCAGAGGCCCCUUCCGGUCCAGGACACAUGAAAUCCCUGAAGAUUACAGUAGUGCCUGUUGCUCCAGGGCUGCCCACAUCAGCAAGGAAAGUGGGUUUGGAAUCCAGCCAGACCCCUGUAUUUGGAGGGUUGCCGCCUCAAGAUCCAUUUUCAAGGCCACCUUACCUUCAGGAGCUUGAGCAAAUCAUUCUUCCCCUCAAGAAAUGUGAUGAUAUGGCCCAGAAAGCAGCAAAUAUAUCACAGAAUCUAGUACAAAAAGGCAUGGUCUGUGGCUAUAAUAAAAAAAGGGAGGUCCCUGCAGGGAGAUUCUGGGGGUCCCCUGGUCUGUGAAUUUCAUGACUCAUGGGUCCAAGUGGGGAUUGUGAGCUGGGGUGUUCGCUGUGGUUUGAAAGAAGUGCCUGCAGUUUAUACAGAUGUUAGUUUCUACAAGGAUUGGAUCAUUGCAAGAAUGAGUCAGGCUUCUCCUCUGGACUCAGUAGGCUUCUUUAUCCUACUGCUGUGUCUGGUGCUGCCCCUGGGUAUCCUGGGGACCCCUGGAUAUCCCGGCCUAGGCCCAUCCUGUUUCUGAGUCUCACACUAGCCUGGCCUCUGACUUUCACUCCUACUCGAUUCCAUUUCCUCAUUUCCUUUCGGGAUCACUGACCCUGUGGAGAUCCUCGUGACACAGAGUGGCAGCAAGAAAGAAACCCUGGAAGCUUCCCAGCCUGGUGAUGCAGGAACCUGCCUCAUCUACGCCUACACCUCGGCUGUGCUCUGCCUGCUGGGAAGGGGGUGGGGGUGAAACCCUCCCAGCUGGAUGGCCAUCAGCUUGACAGGUGCACAUGAUGCUUCAUCUGCAUCUUGGAGAACGUCUAGCGAAGAAGAGACGUCAUCAAUGGUGAAAGAGACUUCAACCUGACACUUUAUCAACCUGGUCAGCUUGGUGGUGUUGGGAGUUGAGAAGGCAUCAGCAUGUCCACAUCUGGCUUGUUGUCUGGGCUGGGAGAAGGUCCUCUGCUCCGCAGUGCAGGUCCAUCUGUGAGUGCCCAGCCUCUGCCACACAAGCCCUCCUGGGCCAUUCAGUCUUGGAACCCCCUUCCCAGUGCUCCAGUGGCCACAUCCAGGAUCACCCCAAGUUGUGUUGAGGCAUUAAGGAGUGUGGAGAUUUCAGAUGUCCACUGAAUAAAUGCUUGGAGUUUAUUCUUUUGUGUUCUAAUGCUCUGCUCUCCUGGCAAUUGUGGGGUUGCAUAUAACAUACUCUGUAGUGGUUUUCAUUUGGCUAUGAAACUGUUCAUGGUUCUUAUUAAGCCCUAGAGGGAGAAGUGAGUCCACAUGGGCUCUUUUGUGGGUCUAAAGAUGGUUUUAGCCGGUUGGAUCCUGGUUCUUGUACUUCUGUUAUAGUCAGCAUGUCUGCAGGGAGUUUUUUAGCCUUAUUUCAUAGCCUCUAUAGCUCAGAGUAGAGGAUCAAGAUAGACUGGAACUAAGAGUAAGUAAGGUUGGGGCAUGAGCAAUAUUUUUCCACCUCUACUCCUUCUGCUUGCUGCUCACCUCCACUUUGUUACCAAAGAUCUUCCUACAGGAAGAGUUAUAAGAGAGAUUCACUAUAUUAGGCACUGGUUCUUUACUCUCAUUCCAGGACAGUAUCUCAAGUCUCUGUGUCUUGCUGUUGAUUAAUUCCCUCUCAAUAUCCUGUUGCCUGCC